AAAUAAGCCGGGAGGAAAGAACUAACUAGGAUUCCCUCAGUAGCUGCGAGCGAACAGGGAGAAGCCCAGCACCGAAUCCCGCGGCCGAUACCGGGCGCCGGGAAAUGUGGUGUUAGGGAGGAUCCGUCUAUCCCGAGGUCGUGCGGUGCGUCCAAGUCCUUCUUGAACGGGGCCACAGCCCAUAGAGGGUGCCAGGCCCGUAGCGACCGCUGCCGAUCGCGGGAGGAUCUCUCCUCAGAGUCGGGUUGCUUGAGAGUGCAGCCCUAAGUGGGUGGUAAACUCCAUCUAAGGCUAAAUAUGACCACGAGACCGAUAGCGAACAAGUACCGUGAGGGAAAGUUGAAAAGCACUUUGAAGAGAGAGUUCAAGAGUACGUGAAACCGUUCAGGGGUAAACCUGAGAAACCCGAAAGGUCGAAAGGGGAAAUUCAUUCGCGUUUCGGCCGCCGGCGUUAGAUGGUCGAGUGACGGACGGCGUACGCGUCGUCCGCGCCUUCCGUCUUUCGAACCGGCGUCGAACGCGUGCACUUUUCCCCUAGUAGGACGUCGCGAUCCGUUGGGUGUCGGUCUAAGACCUGCGGUGGAGCCCGGGCGGACGUUUCGGCGUUCCGUCUGGACCCGUGGUGUUCCGGCCGACUCGCUCGACGGUAUACAGAUGGCGCGGGGCCGCUACCAACUUAGUUAGCGUUCGGCCCGCGGCAAGCGCGUUCGGCGUUUGACGGCGAUCGGACCUCGUUCCGGUCCUGUCCCCGAACGACUGUUGG
rnacentral:rRNA from 1 species